ensembl:lncRNA
UUCUUGCUGGAGGUACCUGCAUACCUGUGGCCUUCUGAACACCAAAAGGAGGUGCUUUCAAAUACACAGCCUUUAAUCUGGAGGAAAUAUAUGCCCAGUUUGUAGCCCUCAUCGCUUCUACAGUGGCUAAUGUUGCUGCUUACAGACAUCCUCAGUCCCGCUGAGAAACAUCUCAGAAAACACAACAUUUUGGAAGGACCCUGAGAAAGACUAUGACAACGUUCUGCAAGAUGUGAAAUCUGGUAGACUGCCUGCUUCCAGUGACCCAGGGACCCUCUCAGCAGCACAUCACUGAUGUCCACACAGUGAGCGGGCCUGAGCCCAUACUUCAGAAAGUCUGAUAGGAGUCCAGAAGGACAGCCAGGAUUUCGGCUGUUUAUUCCCUAACAUUACUUUUUGCAGUUUCUGGAUUCCACUGCAGAACUGGAUGUGUUCAGGUGAUAGGACUGCUUGCAGCCUUACCCUGGCUCAGAUUUUAUUGAUCAGUUUCUUUGGAGAUGAAAUACUGCUGUAGACUUAGAGCACAGGCAUUUCACUAUGAUUAGUUUUAGAACAUCUCUUUCAUUUCUGUAUGUUUGAAAAUGUGCAUAACAUAUUAGUUAAUGGCUCUGAUCUUUGUCAGAUAACAUUAGUAACUGCACCAGGUUGUGUAAUUCACAGUCAAAGGGCUCCUUUGGAAGUGUUGCCCGUAUGACACAUCAGUUACGUGCAUUCAUUGGAAAGAAGGUAGAAACCGUGGAAUUCUAUUGCAUUUUAUUUUAGCAUUUGAAGCACUUGCCGUUAUUUAUGUCACUUGAUUUCUAUAUGUUCAUCUAUCAAUGUUUUCAGCCCACUUUUACAUUCUCUCUUAAAGUUGUUUCCCCUGAUAAGUUGACAGUAGCAUCUGAGCUGGGAAUUUCAGAAGGGGCUAAGUGAGGUGUAGGGGUGCCAAGGUGUCCUAAGGGUGUAGGGUGCCAAGAGAAAGCACGUGGAAUUGUUCCCCUCAAUUGCACAUGCAACUUUGAUAAUUCAUUUCUACAUCUCUUUUUACAAGUAUCAGCUCAGUUAAUAACUCACUGUUCCAUCAGAACCGUCCAACUCUACUGUUUUUUCCUUGGGGUUGUACUUUCUGUCCUCACAGAGGCUCUGCUGGACCUUCUAUUGCAGAUACCAAAGAGUUGCUUCAGGAAUAAAUGUAACUCCUUCUUCUAAUGCUUUC